rnacentral:lncRNA from 1 species
UAACUCUGAGCAUGACCAGCUAGGAUGAGGCUGGUCAAGGGUGCCCUCCCACUCCCAAUCCCUGUCCCAUGAAUAGACAUGUAUGCCCCACACCUAGGCUGGAACCGGGUUCAUGGUUAACCAAGCCUGAAGGGGCCAGCUGCUCCUACCCCACUCUUGUCACCAUUCCCCCAAGACAAGCUCCAUCCUAAUAUCUCACUCCAGGGAGCCGGGCCCUGGGAAGCAACCUUCUCCUCAUUCACACCCUUCCCCAUAGAGCAUGACCUCCUGUCUAUGCAUGAACUGCCUGUGGCUGUGGUCAUUCUGACUCACAGAGCUAAUGUGUGCGACCCCGUGUGAACCCACCAGGAAAGCCCAGCUGCGCUCCCUCACCCCUGGGAUCCCACAUGGUGACUGGGAGGUAGACAAAGAGCACUUCCGGUUACCCAAGUGGAGACCCCUAGGGUGACAUCUCUCUACCACUGCCCCCUUCAGUCUUACCUCUCAGUGACCUGGGCUGCAGGGGCUGAGGAACAUCGUCUAGAAGCCAUGUAGCUGAGUAGUCACUCAGAACUUCUAGGGUCAGCUGGGGUGGGGGGUUAAAUGACAGGGGUGCCAAGGAGGGAGUGAACUGCCUUGAGUGUGAGCUGGAGAGCCUGGGAC